rnacentral:rRNA from 1 species
GAUGAACGCUGGCGGCGUGCCUAAUACAUGCAAGUCGAGCGAACAGACGAGGAGCUUGCUCCUCUGACGUUAGCGGCGGACGGGUGAGUAACACGUGGAUAACCUACCUAUAAGACUGGGAUAACUUCGGGAAACCGGAGCUAAUACCGGAUAAUAUAUUGAACCGCAUGGUUCAAUAGUGAAAGACGGUUUUGCUGUCACUUAUAGAUGGAUCCGCGCCGCAUUAGCUAGUUGGUAAGGUAACGGCUUACCAAGGCAACGAUGCGUAGCCGACCUGAGAGGGGCAUGGGCCCACCUGGAACCUGACCCCGGGCCAGCCCCCGCGGGGGGGGAGCGGUGGGGAACUUUCCGCAAGGGGGCAAACCCGAAAGGGGCAACCCCGGGUGGGUGAAAAAGUGUUUAGGAUCUAAAAACUUUUUUUUGGGGAAAAAAAAAAUGGUGAAAUAAAUAUGCCCCUUGUGAGGGGACCAAAUAAAAAAGCCACGGCCAACUACGGC